UGGGCAGAUCUAUUUCGGAAGCAAUGAU
rnacentral:piRNA from 1 species